AGGGUGACAGGUGGUGCGAUGGUUGUCGUCAGCUCGUGUCGUGAGAUGUUGGGUUAAGUCCCGCAACGAGCGCAACCCUCGACCUUAGUUGCCAGCAUUCAGUUGGGCACUCUAAGGUGACUGCCGGCUAAAAGUCGGAGGAAGGUGGGGAUGACGUCAAAUCAUCAUGCCCCUUAUGACCUGGGCUACACACGUGCUACAAUGGGCGGUACAAAGGGUCGCGAACCCGCGAGGGGGAGCCAAUCCCAAAAAGCCGCUCUCAGUUCGGAUUGCAGGCUGCAACUCGCCUGCAUGAAGCCGGAAUCGCUAGUAAUCGCGGAUCAGCAUGCCGCGGUGAAUACGUUCCCGGGCCUU
rnacentral:rRNA from 1 species